rnacentral:lncRNA from 1 species
AGGGUGGAACCCUUCAUACAUGCAGGCGUUUGGGAACCAUGAAAUACAUCCCUUGACACACAUUUCCAACCAAGACCUAGUCAACUUUCACAAUUUAACACCCAAAUUGACCUGUGGUCCUCCACUUGACCACUGGUGGUCCUUUCUGUGCAACAGGAUGUCCAAAAUCAAGAAAUGCCUCGCGUAAUCGUUUACAGGAGUUUGUAAACGAUUACAAAGCUGUUUUUUACUAGAAAAUGCANUGUCCUUCUGGAACCUACAUGCAAUGACCAAGGGUGGAACCCUUCAUACAUGCAGGGGUUUGGGAACCAUGAAAUACAUCCCUUGACACACAUUUCCAACCAAGACCUGGUCAACUUUCACAACAUAACACCAAAAAUGACCUGUAGUCCUCCACUUGACCACUGGUGGUCCUUUUAGUGCAACAGGAUGUCCAAAAUCAAGAAAUGCCUCGCGUAAUCGUUUACAGA